UACGAAGGGUGCAAGCGUUAAUCGGAAUUACUGGGCGUAAAGGGUGCGUAGGCGGUUGUUUAAGUCUGUCGUGAAAUCCCCGGGCUCAACCUGGGAAUGGCGAUGGAUACUGGACAGCUAGAGUGUGUCAGAGGAUGGUGGAAUUCCCGGUGUAGCGGUGAAAUGCGUAGAGAUGUGGAGGAAUACCGAUGGCGAAGGCAGCCCCCUGGGACAACACUGACGCUCAGGCACGAAAGCGUGGGGAGCAAACAGG
rnacentral:rRNA from 1 species